rnacentral:lncRNA from 1 species
AAAAACUAAACAAGAAUUAAGCUGAAAUUAUUCUAACUACGCAAGCCUCGGCGUCUCUCAUUUUGAUAUCACUUGAUGUUCCUCACGAUCAAUGCAGAUCUCUACACAGUAGCUCCACACCGUAGCUCCCUUACACAAGUAUUUCCAACUCUUCACCUAAGCGGUCCAUCUUGCCUUGCUUGGUUUCCACCGUCUCGAUCACAUUGUUAGCCAUACCAUCCUCUGCCGCAUGGCGACAGAUUGCCAUCUUCAAGUUGCCCGUUACCGGUCUACAUACAAACGCCUCUCAUUCGCUGUCGUCUUUCUGCAAACGUGCUCACCU